rnacentral:sRNA from 1 species
GCUGGACACCGUGGUGCAUGUCUGUAAUCUCAGUGGCUCUGGAGGCUGAGGCAGAAGGAUCACAGGUUCAAAGCCAGCCUCAGCAACAGUGAGGUAGUAUGCAACCCAGUGAGACCCUGUCUCUA